AGCAAAUGGAAGAAUUCCGGUGGUGUCCAGUGACUGAAGGCUCCACAAUGAAGUCUACAGUUUGGUCAAUCUAAUCUCUGGCAAUGGAAUGCACUGGGGCCAACUGAGGAUGAAGGAUGAGAGAAACACGCAUCUUCUUCUCUGCUCCAGGAAGCAAGUUUGGAAGUUGCCAAGUCAUAUCUGCAGCUCUCAUUUCCAUCAGAAGCCUUGGAUGCAGGCCCAGGACAACUCACCUCCCCCUAGAGGUGGCAACAGCUUCCUGUUAUUGCUUACACUGGUUGCCACUGGAUGUCUGCUGUCACAUUUUCCAUGUUUUCACUCCUCAAUACUCUUCUGUUCUAUUCUAUUAUUCAACAAAUCUUUUAUUUUUUUUCUGACUGGACUCUACCUGAUACUUUGAUUUACUAAUUCAAGUUUUUUUUUAAAUAUAACAUCAUUGUAUUUGCACGGUACCAACAAAGCCAGAUGGGGUUGGAGUUUUCAUAGUACAGACAGAAAAAAAUAAUAAUAUUCCAUUUAUUUGACACAAAUUCAGCAAUUUAAAUUCCCAACUAAAAUUAUCAACCUAAAGCAAGCAUAAAUGUGUCUGAGCUCUUACAAGUUGAAAUGAUUUUCUUUGCUUUGUUCUGCAAGAAUCAUCUAUGUUCACUCCAGUUUGCCUUGUGUUUUAAAAUGAGAUUUGGCUAGCUUUUUUGCAGUACUUCAUCUGUAACAGAGUAUUGAAUUCAAUGUCUGCAGGACAUCAGUAAAACUAUAUGUAUUGAAUAUGUGGGAAAAAGAUUAUCUUCUAGCACAUCAAUGCAAUCUGGAUUAUUUUAUUAAAGAAGAACAAUCACAUACCAA